UCUAUACCAUAUUACCCUGAAUGUCCCCAAUCUUGUCUGAUCUCGGAAGGUAAACAUGGUUGGGCCUAGUUGGUCUAGGUUGGGAGAA
rnacentral:rRNA from 1 species